rnacentral:lncRNA from 1 species
ACUUAAUUGAAACUAGUUAAGUUAUCCUUAAUGCUCUAGCUCCAAGCCAUGAAGAUGACGUAGGAAGCUAAGUUGCUUUCUAAAUCCUAAAAGAAAGAAGACUGUUCAUCGGCGCUUUCAGUAACUAAAUCAGGUGCGUAAUCAAGCUAAUCUCAUUCCUUAGGAGCUAGAGCAAUAAGAGAUGAAUGAGUUUACUUUUAGUUGAAUACAGGAACUAGUUUUCUUAGCAUAGAUGGAAUGAACUAUCAGAGAAGGCGGAGAGCCUAGCCGAAAGCUUUUUAGUCAAGUACGCAGGAAGAGUUUAUAGGUAGAGGAAGAGGGCAUUCCAUUCCGCAUUCUUUGGCACGAGGGUUUGGCUUCCUUGAUUCAUUCCUUUCUUUGGAAUCGAACUAUCCCUCAAAUGAAGGGAAGGAAGCAAGCAAUUCGGACAGAAGAAAGAGGGCUUGAAAGAAUAAGAUACGUAGAGCGUGAACCAAGGUUCAUAGGCGGAUCAAACUCGAAUCUUGCAGAUCCUAGUUCGCUUACUAAUCGCUUUCGGGACCAGUCUUCAAUGGCAUGAAGCUUGAGUGGCAUAGAAUCUCCUGCCUUAGUCGAAUGAUCGACAGAUGAAAGGAUAACUAUCUGGUGAGGCAUCUGGAUUUUAUUUGGAUUCGGGUCGGUUAAAGCUUGCAAGGGAGUUCGUGGCCUACUAGGAGUUCUGUUUUCUGAGGACUGAUAUGAUAGAACGCCUUAUUAAUUCUACUAUCCUUUCAAGCAAGAGUUUUCUUAGAUUGAUGAAUGAGAAGGAAGAGAGUGAAUAGGGCACAGGAAAUGAAGUCAUCCAGGUUCGGAGCGGGAAGCAUGGGCUGUGAGGCAAUGAAAUUGUUAGCUUUCAUUCAGUCAGCUUGGCUUUGCCAUUUCCUCUCUCAAGCACUACUUGAAAGUGCAAGAUCCAAGACUGAAACAAAUGAAAAAGAAAAACCUCGCAUCAAAGGUUGACUUCUCUGUCGCCGAGUCAGCGCCGAAUCCGCUGCAAGCGAAUGCCUGAAUCAUGGUGUAAAUUCCUUUCUUCAUUCUUCAGUUGAAGCAAGUCAGUCUUUUUUGCUUUCCUUCUCUGUCGGCGGGGUAACUAGAAAAGUACGCAUUCAGCUGUGAAAGACGUUAUUUCCUCAAACGAUUUGAUCCAAGGGAAUGAAACUCUGCCUUUAAAGAAUGGCAUUCUGCUUCAAUGUCGGCGAAGACGCUCUUCUAUGUUAUUUAAUUCGAGGUUGUUUUGAGCCUUUUUUUCUUUUCAUAGGCUUUAAAAGAUUCCUUCAACUAGCCUAUUAAUAUAAUACAGAAUAAACUAUGCCUUUAAAGAAUGGCUUUCAAGUAAACAUGCUAGUGUCACGGGUUAAGCUUUCUCUUAAUGAAGCGAUAGACCGUUUGGCACUUGAAUGGAUGCUUCCACCCAAGUCAGCAAAGGAUA